rnacentral:rRNA from 1 species
UACGAAGGGGGCUAGCGUUGCUCGGAAUCACUGGGCGUAAAGCGCACGUAGGCGGCUUCUUAAGUCAGGGGUGAAAUCCUGGAGCUCAACUCCAGAACUGCCUUUGAUACUGAGGAGCUCGAGUCCGGAAGAGGUGAGUGGAACUGCGAGUGUAGAGGUGAAAAUUCGUAGAUAUUCGCAAGAACACCAGUGGCGAAGGCGGCUCACUGGUCCGGUACUGACGCUGAGGUGCGAAAGCGUGGGGAGCAAACAGGG